rnacentral:rRNA from 1 species
GCGGAGGAAAAGAAACCAACAGGGAUUGCCCUAGUAACGGCGAGUGAAGCGGCAACAGCUCAAAUUUGAAAUCUGGCUCUUUCAGAGUCCGAGUUGUAAUUUGCAGAGGGCGCUUUGGCUUUGGCAGCGGUCCAAGUUCCUUGGAACAGGACGUCACAGAGGGUGAGAAUCCCGUACGUGGUCGCUAGCUAUUGCCGUGUAAAGCCCCUUCGACGAGUCGAGUUGUUUGGGAAUGCAGCUCUAAAUGGGAGGUAAAUUUCUUCUAAAGCUAAAUAUUGGCCAGAGACCGAUAGCGCACAAGUAGAGUGAUCGAAAGAUGAAAAGCACUUUGGAAAGAGAGUCAAACAGCACGUGAAAUUGUUGAAAGGGAAGCGCUUGCAGCCAGACUUGCUUGCAGUUGCUCAUCCGGGCUUUUGCCCGGUGCACUCUUCUGCAGGCAGGCCAGCAUCAGUUUGGGCGGUGGGAUAAAGGUCUCUGUCACGUACCUUCCUUCGGGUUGGCCUUAUAGGGGAGACGCCAUACCACCAGCCUGGACUGAGGUCCGCGCAUCUGCUA